rnacentral:rRNA from 1 species
UUCGUUUCCUUCUGGAGGCUCCCGUUGGGACGUUCUAGGGGACGGGAACCUGAGGCUGGGGCUGAGGCCGGGCCGCAGCACGAAGAAGGGGCGAGGCGGAGAUUAGAGGCGGGGCAGGCCCCCGCGGCUGCUGGGCCGCGAGCAGAAGGAGGAGGGAGCUGGUUCCGUCCGUCCCAAAGAAGGACGGUCAUCGGUACAACCUCUUCUAGCCCAACGGCGGGUUCGGCAGCUACGCUCCCCGCUGGACCCACGACCUACGGAGGUUGACGGUCCCGACGCGGCGAGUCAAGAGGAACAAAUGUGCCUUCGUAGUAACGGUUUCUACACCUCCGGAGAAGACGUCGUCAACGUGGGUCGUCUCCUACCACAAUGCACCUGUCCCACUGAGUGGACAAGCUUAAACACUAGGAACGUUUUUUGAGCUCCUUCGUCGUGCGAUACUCAACUCUAUGCCUGUGUUUUUAUCUCGGCCUUUUCGAUUGUGUUUUUGUCGAAGAUUUGGUCUCCUACUUUAUGAAUCACUUGAAGAACCUCCACUAUCACACGUGCCAGUCGAAAGAGCAUCCCUUAGAGACCCAAGACUCCAAGGACCCUCUUGGCAUUCGUGACGGUCACGUAGGUCAAGACCAAGGUCUUUUCGGUCAUACCUACCCUUACCACUACCUUCGGAAAGGUGACUUCGUGUUUUAAUACUUGAGUUGUUGUGACGCAGGUAAAAAUGAGGCCUUCUUGACGCAGUUGUUCGUCAUCUCCUCUUCCCUUUCAUGUUUUAUGACUUCAGUCUUCCUUUUGGACUCCUUCGUGACGCCCGCAAGUUCGUACCAUUUCUCGAACUCUCCGUUCGGCGUCGUGAACUUAAUCUUAACUCUUUCUCGUCCUCUUACCGCUGUUUUCGAGGGUUACAAUCACGGUAACAACCAUGGGUCUUCUAACUCCUAAUACUACUGCGACAUUGUUUUUUCCGAGGUUCACCCUUUUCCCAAUCUUUUCUUUUCUUACUAGAACGAAGACUUGAGUUUCUAGAUCCGACCAGUCUACGUCUAGAAGUACUACUUUGUUCCGGUUGACGAUACUCACAACUUCCUCUCGACAGUGUCUAAGAAUCUCUUCAUCGUGGUUUCUGUAGUCUCCCGUUCUUUCGACCACCAUAACUGUUUAGGGUCCAAUUACGAGACUUCUCUGUCCGGGAUCAAGACUUCGCGCUUCCAUUUGAACGACUUCGUUUCCUUCUCGACUUCUUCCGAUUUUAAAACCUUUCUGUUGACCUUCUUGUCCUUUAAGACCCGCUUCGUCUUCUCAGACUACUACUGAACCGACGUUAAUAAGUAUUGUACCUACUACUAUUGGUCCUGCUGUAUAAUAUACUGUUAAGUUCUGAUGGACGAUAGUUAAAGCUUGUUUAAGACCGACAGAGACUACUAGAAUUGAAACUACCGUUAAAGCUACAAUGUCUGCUACUGUAGUUACUGGGUCGAUACCGACGACGGGAUUUUAGUAAACCAACCUCACUUCUACUACUGUUGGUUUACCUGUCGGUACGUGGACAAAGAAGAAACUUAGCUCUCCGUCAUUUCCUUGUUCACGAACGAGACUUUUCUCUCCGACAAAGAGUGUUCUUCCGACCAUUACAACGUCUCCGGUACAGUAACGAAUUUUUCCGUUUCGAUGAACUCUUCCUAAACCUUUGACUUGUCGGUCUCAGCCUCCAGGAAAGAGGUCCUGUCUUUUAGUGUGUGUGACUUCUAUAGUCUCAGUGUCUCUAAUUGUGCGCAGCACAUAGUCGUGGCUUUUCAUUCGAACGUUAAGUCUCCCUCGACGAUCGAGACUUUUUCUUCCGUGAUCGCAACUCUUCCCUUCCUUUCCACCUACUUCGGCUCCUUCUCAACUUCUUUCCGUCAUAAGAACUCUUCGUUGAGCUUCUCGAACUUUCGAGAAGGUUAUCUGGGCAUCGGUCCCUUUUGUACCAGAAAUCAAGUUUCAGGGGUGAGUAACGACUUGGGGGAUCAGACCUAAAACGACUACUUCCGAUACUUGGACUCCACUGUCUGUUACUGUACGUCCUAGGUCGUAACGACAGACACAACUUUUUAUACCCUACCCUUCUACUACUAUUACUAAGACACUUUUGUUGUCUAUUUGGUAACUUAGCAAGUGGACAUCAACGAGUCUUCGGUUUCUUCUUAUUCCCAGUCUAAGUCUUCCUUAACGAACGAUAGUUUUCCUUCCGAGAACGUAAAUCCGCCCUUCCCUUCUUGUGUCUUCGACUUCUCCUUGAUCUCUUCCGCUUCCAGAACCUCCUCGUUGACCGCCUCUAUCUUCUUAACCGAUUGAGUUGACGAAGAGUUUUUCCAAGUCCAGGACCACUUGUACUCUGAUGCCUUUUGUUUUUACUAUAAGUUGUACAGGGAUUACAAGUACGAUGACGUAGAAGUUAUUCUGUAUGUAACUUCCUCCUACAAAACAACGGUCACUUACGUCGACUUGAAUCACGCAGUUACCUGCGACAUCGAUCAAGACCUUCGUUUGGUGUUUGACUUUGUCAGUAAAGAGUUGGACGGGUGUUUAGUUUCCAUUGAUCACUACCUCGUAUGAGUCGGAAGAGGUCCAGUGGAUAGCGACUAGUCAACGUUUGACGUCUUCGUAGUGUAAGUGGAAGACUACAACUAGUAUUUCUUGGAGGCUUCGGUGUACCUCCGCUGUGUGAGUCUCUACUAUAGAAUGAGGUAUUCUCUUUUCGUCAACGAAAAUUCUCUCUUCCCUUCAACCGUCUUCGAUCUCUUCUUAACUUUGAUCGUUUUGAGAAUCUCUUCGCAGAACUUCGGGGAGUUGUUCUGUCACUCCUACCACGUGUACUCAAUCGGUGUAGUCGACACGUCGUCUCGUUAAGCUAGGUCGUCAGACGGUCGCAGUGGUGGGUGUGGCCGGGCAACUGGAUACGGGGAGGUCGUGUCCUCUUGUUCAGGCAACUCGGAGUUUUCCGUUACAGGUCGGCUCUGGCAGAGUCUUAGGUCGCACUUAGGGAGUGAGUGUUCGCGUUGCGGGAGUUCAACUCCUCUCUUCCUUUCUGACGCCUUCGUCUACGCCUUAAGCUUAACCGGUUCAGUGAUCUCUCGGUUGACCUUCUCAGUCUAUCGGUCCCAAGUUUGAGACCUCCUUUCAGACUUCGUUCACUGCGCAAACACCUUCUAGAAUAACUAGGAGUUUACUACAGACGGGACUUUAGGUAGCCGACCUCGCGUCGACUGGACAGGUGCGUUAGAGGCUCGGGAGUUGGAAACCACUUUCGUCUCCGUUCCGGUUGGCAGCGUCGGUGUUCGUUCCAAGUCUGUCUCUUUUCGGUCGAGCUCCUUGUCUAUUUCCGACUCUUUGACUUCCGGGAGUGGAACUUCGCGCUUCCCUUCGUCCGUCUCCGAGACCUCCGGGAAGCGAGUCGUUUCGCGGACCUCUUCUUCAACCAGAGUGAGUCGAUUCAGGUAGUAGCGGAAGGAAUGGACUGUUAAAAACAAACCAUUCAGUAGGGUCUACUAUCAAACAGAUUAUUCCCACAUUAUGACAUUACGUACAGACUUAUUCAUCGUCUUCCGAAUAUUGAACACUCGGUACACGUGUCGUGGAAACCGAGACACAUAUACAUUUUUACAUGACAUCGUUAACUUUUACACCCCGUGCUAACAAAAGCGUUGAGGUUUCAUUAAUCACGUAGGUACUUUGUUGUAUAUAAAAAUUGAAAGAUAUAUAUG